AUCAAGAAUCCAAAGAAGAACGAGGAAAAGAAAAAGUUGCGGAAUAGUCCCUAAAUUUCAAUAUCUUCUACAAAUUAGUCCAGGUAAGUUCAUAUGGCAAAGUUCAAUGUUUUGUUAUGAAAAUCUUAUGAUUGUUAAAGUAUUUUAUUGUUGAUGAAUACUAUCAAUUUGCAUUAACUAAUAAAUAAUGUGUAACUAAAAGUACAAAUUAGUAGGAACAAUGGAUUUGAGUGCUUCUAUUCUGUGACCCUGAUGAAUUGACGAAAAAUAUGUGAUAAGUGCGCCCGUUUAAGACCAUAGCUGGGCUAUGGCAUCGGUGCAAUGUGAUAAUGUGACUCCGUAUAAGACCAUAGCUAGGCUAUGGCAUCGGUAUAAUGUGAUAAUGUGAUUCCGUAUAAGACCAUGUCUGGGAUAUGGCUUCGGUAUGAUAUGUGAACCGUGUAAGACCAUGGCAAGGCUAUGGCUUCAGUGUGUGAUGUAACAAUGUGAAAGUCCAUAGUUUACUAUGGCAAUGUGAUAAUGAAGCACUCAAUUCCCUUAUUGUUCCCUAAUUUGACAAUGAAGUAAAUGAGAAAUGGGCCUAAGGGAGUUAAAUUGUGAGUAGCCAUAUGGAAAUUAUUCCAAUGAGUUAUUAAUGAAAUUGUGAUUUGGAGGAUGAAAUAGUUAAACUAAUAGAUAUAUGAUUGUGUACAAUAUUUGAUAUGAUUUGUGUUUUUAUGCCUAUGAGCUUACUAAGCUUCAAUAAGCUUACUUGUGUGUGUGUUUGAUAAUUUCUUUUGUAGAUUGAAUUAAAGAGAAGUUGGUAGAUCGGAUCAACACAACAGGGCACACUAUUCAGAUCAAUUCCGGUAGUUUUUGUUUUAUGUUUAAAGAUUUAUAUGGCAUGUAUAGAGUUUGAAUGAAUUGAAGUAAAGAUGUUAUAAACUAGUUAACAAUAUUUGUACUAAAACAGUUUUUGGUAAGUA
rnacentral:lncRNA from 1 species